ensembl:snRNA U6 U6 spliceosomal RNA
UUGCUUCUCUUCGCCAGCACAUAUACUAAAAUUGGAAUGAUACAGAGAAGAUUAGCAUGGCCCCUACACAAGGAUAUCAUGCAAAUUCAUGAAGUGUUCCAUAUUUGC